AGUGAACGCUGGCGGUAGGCCUAACACAUGCAAGUCGAACGGCAGCACAGUAAGAGCUUGCUCUUACGGGUGGCGAGUGGCGGACGGGUGAGGAAUACAUCGGACUCUACUUUUUCGUGGGGGAUAACGUAGGGAAACUUACGCUAAUACCGCAUACGACCUACGGGUGAAAGCAGGGGAUCUUCGGACCUUGCGCGAUUGAAUGCGCCGAUGUCGGAUUAGCUAGUUGGCGGGGUAAAGGCCCACCAAGGCGACGAUCCGUAGCUGGUCUGAGAGGAUGAUCAGCCACACUGGAACUGAGACACGGUCAAGACGCCUACGGGAGGCAGCAGUGGGGAAUAUUGGACAAUGGGCGGAAGCCUGAUCCAGCCAUACCGCGUGGGUGAAGAAGGCCUUCGGGGUGUAAAGACCUUUUGUUGGGAAAGAAAAGCAGCAGGUUAAGACCCAGCUGUUCUGACGGUACCCAAAGAAUAAGCACCGGCUAACUUCGUG
rnacentral:rRNA from 1 species